UAAAGACUUAUGUGUGCAUUGAUUUGGGUGAUUGAAGUAGCUUAAGGUAGACAAGCUUAGGUUGAUUGAAGUUUGUGGGACAUCAGAAUCUGAAUUUCAUUGUGACUUGACCUCCAUGAUGGACCUUUGCUUUGACUUUUUUCGCGUAUCAAAGGAAAAGAAAGAUCUUAAGGAAACAAAAGGAAGUAAAAGUUUGGUUGAUGUGGUACCCCAAAAGAAGAGGAGACUUGAUGAUACACAUCUGAUGAUGAGCCUCAUGUAACAAAAGACAAGAGAAGAUAAAUCA